GUCUACAGCCAUGCUACCCUGAACAAGCCCAAUCCCGUCUGAUCUCGGAAGCUAAGCAGGGUUGGGCCUGGUUAGUACUUGGAUGAGAGACCACAGAGGAAGACUAGGUGCUGUAGGCG
rnacentral:rRNA from 1 species